rnacentral:rRNA from 1 species
ACGAACAGUUGGAAACGACUGCUAAUACCGCAUACGAUCCAAUCUCGGCAUCGAGGAUGGAUGAAAGGUGGCCUCUAUUUAUAAGCUAUCACUGAAGGAGGGGAUUGCGUCUGAUUAGCUAGUUGGAGGGGGUAACGGCCCACCAAGGCAAUGAUCAGUAGCCGGUCUGAGAGGAUGAACGGCCACAUUGGGACUGAGACACGGCCCAGACUCCUACGGGAGGCAGCAUG